GUCACUUCAGAUAUAUAUAUAUAUACGUGAUAUAUGUAUGUGUAUAUAAUCGAUGGCGAUGGAAAAUUACAGUAACAAUUAUUGAGGUAACAAUGAGUACCUGCGUUUUUUGCAAAACAAAGCAAUCAAAAUAUAGUGGGCGAUCAUUUCACAAAUUUCCCGUGAAAGAUGUGUUGCGCCUUCAGCAGUGGUUAAAAGAAAUGAAGAGGAAGGACUGGAAGUCAAACCGAAAUAGCACAUUGUGUUCAGCUCAUUUUGCAAAUGACUGCUUUGAUAGGACAGGAUUCCUAAUUACAUUGAAAAAGAACAGUGUACCAACUAUAUUUGACAACCCAAAAUCAAAGUGUUCAUCUUGUCACCGAUUAAGGGAAUGUGGACAUGGCUAUUCAUUGUUCAAGUUCCCAUUGGAUGAACCUGAUAUUAUGAAGCAGUGGAUCGCAAAUAUAAACAUUGGACCGUGGUCUCCAUCAAGUGAUAGCUUUCUGUGUUCCGACCACUUUGAACCCUCUUGCUUUCAGAAGAAAAGUAAAAAUUAUAUAACUUUACGAAAAGGCAGUAUCCCAACGUUAUUUGCUGACCGAAUUUCAGGAUGAAUCCGAUCGGCCCACCACAGUGAAUGUAACCAAAUUACAUGAUCACCUACACAUUUGUACCUGAUUUGCAUGCUCAGCUCCACUUUGAUGAUCAAUCGAUGGUAAAUGGAUUCCCUAACGGUUGAAUUAGUGUUAUACAAAUGUUUGAAUAAUCCGUAUGGAAUUCAGCCCACCAUAGGAUAAAGGAUAAUGGACGAAAACUUCUCAGAAUUGAGGACUUCUUUUGAACAUAAAGAAAAAUCACGCUUAAAUACAAGUUUUUCGUCAUAUUAUUUAAUGA
rnacentral:misc_RNA from 1 species